AUUAAACGCUGGCGGCAUGCCUUACACAUGCAAGUCGAACGGUAACAGGUUAAGCUGACGAGUGGCGAACGGGUGAGUAAUAUAUCGGAACGUGCCCAGUCGUGGGGGAUAACGUAGCGAAAGCUACGCUAAUACCGCAUACGAUCUACGGAUGAAAGCGGGGGAUCGCAAGACCUCGCGCGAUUGGAGCGGCCGAUAUCAGAUUAGGGUGUUGGUGAGGUAAAAGCUCACCAAGCCUGCGAUCUGUAGCUGGUCUGAGAGGACGACCAGCCACACUGGAACUGAGACACGGUCCAGACUCCUACGGGAGGCAGCAGUGGGGAAUUUUGGACAAUGGACGCAAGUCUGAUCCAGCAAUGCCGCGUGCAGGACGAAGGCCUUCGGGUUGUAAACUGCUUUUGUACGGAACGAAACGGUGAGCUCUAAUACAGUUUGCUAAUGACGGUACCGUAAGAAUAAGCACCGGCUAACUACGUGCCAGCAGCCGCAGUAA
rnacentral:rRNA from 1 species